rnacentral:rRNA from 1 species
UACGUAGGGUGCAAGCGUUAAUCGGAAUUACUGGGCGUAAAGCGUGCGCAGGCGGUUUUGUAAGUUUGUCGUGAAAUCCCCGGGCUCAACCUGGGAAUGGCGAUGAAGACUGCAAGGCUAGAAUCUGGCAGAGGGGGGGUAGAAUUCCACGUGUAGCAGUGAAAUGCGUAGAGAUGUGGAGGAACACCGAUGGCGAAGGCAGCCCCCUGGGUCAAGA